UGGGAGCAUUAGCAAUUCCUUCCUUGCUU
rnacentral:piRNA from 1 species